GCGAGACGUCUGGUCUUGUGGCCGAGACCGCCCGAUAAACUGUUCCCGGAACGACGCGGGGCGCAGCCCCCUGCCGGUCCACCAACGAUCAGCCAGCAGCCGCUGCAAACCCAGGGAG
rnacentral:sRNA from 12 species